CACAGCUUCACUCCAAGCUAACACUUGGCAGUGCUCUGCUCCUGCCUGGAGCCUUCAGCACUGGGAGAGCUCCAGCAGGACAUGGCCUGGUGGUGCUGGGGAGAAGCAGCCAAGGACAUCAGGCAGGUGCUUGACAGUCAAACAAGUGCAGAUUAACCCUUAGAUGACCAUUGAAUUUCCAGCUAGCUGCUUCUAUGUCUAGAGCUGGUGCUGUGUCCGCAGUGCAGCAAAGCCCAACCUACAUCUGUUGUCUUGGAGCAUUGCCAGAGGCUGUCCCAGGAGGAACGUCCUCUGCCACCCCAGCAUCCUUGGUAUUGAAAAACCUCCCAGAAUGGAUGUCAAGGAGUUGUUCUGUUGAAGCAUGGCAGCUGUCUGCAUGUGGACAGAAGGAAGCAAAGGGAAAAACAGCUGCUGUCUUUUCUCUUUUCUGGGUAUCUUGGCCACUCGGAUCCCCUGACCAAAGAAUGACCAACACCAACAGCUUGGAGGCACCCAGCCAGCAGCAACAUCAGGAGCUAUUGCAGCUUCCCCACUGCCUGCGGUGACUACAAAUUUGAGCUGAAUUAAUCCCAGACAGAGGCUCAAUCUGAGGCAAACUUUCCUUCCAAAAUGUUCAGUCUGAAGAGACGUGAAAGCAGGACGGGCUGGCCACCUACCUUCCCCGUGUUGGUCUCAUCCUGGGCAAAGGAAGAAUGAAUGACACUUCAUUUUAUUAAGCCCAGAAAGGAGGCUGUUGGCCACUUUGUUCAACUUCCCCGUUGGUACCACCCAUGAGUUUCUUCUUGCUCUCAGGAUUGGGUUAACAACAUGCUUCUCAUCCAGAAUUUUUCCAGGAUCCUGAACUCCAGAUCUAUCCAUAACUGUCUUUCAAGGAGGCGAAGUCUACUUGCUAUGUACUGGAAUGUGUCCUUUAUAUUUGAUAUUAACUAAUGGGGAUGAAAUUGUUCUUGGCUCUUGAUAUUACUGAGUGUUCCCUUUGGGGGCUGGAUUCCUUCCCAGCAAAUGGUAGCAGCCAUGAGCAAAGGCUGUUGAAAUGUCAGAUGGCAAAAACAAGCAAGAGCUCCAGAUGGAGCAACUGGAAGAGAAACACGACAAAGAUGGUGAUGGGAAAGCUUCAGAUUCACAUUUGAUUGGGAGUCCUUUUCUUGGGAUUGGGAGUCCCCACCUGUGGCUUCCAAACCCACUCUCUGUGCAAGCCAUUGUGCAAAGCGGCAUCCCUUGAGGAAGUUCUUCAUUAUUAUGACUGAAUGUGGUGUGUCACAACUCCUACCUGCUGGUCAGCAAGUGGAACCUCACAAUGAAGUGCUUCCCAGCGCAGCAAAACUUCCUGACCACCACUGACUGCGUUGGACACUUUACUGCUCCAGAGAAAUCCAAAGAAGAGGGCUGUGGAAGUGGAGCAGAACAGGACCAACUCUGGCAUUUUGGCUGCUCCAGAUGAGCCAGGAAAUCAGCAGGAAGUGGCACCCAUCCCCUGUAGACACCACAGCCCAUGCUAGUCAUGGUACCAAUCCUUACGUGGGAGCCUUGUGUUUUCCUUCAGAGCCCAUCAGCUCUCCAAAGGGAUGCUGCAGUGUGAGGUGUUUGGGACCAGGAAGGUCCCAGUUUGGAGGUGGGAAGUCCUGCUGCCUCACAGUGCUGCCAGAGUGUUCCAGUCCCGAGCCAUUCCCUUGCCUGUUUGCUUUUGCUGUUUACUGAUUUACCACCGAGGUGUCGGCCCAGAGCAGACUGUGCCGAACUCCUUCGGUGGCCUGGGGGCUGCUGCCAGCUCUGCCAAAGUCCUGCGGUGCUGGGAGUGUUUCUCCCCCAAGCGAGGGGGAGAGAAUCAUGUUCCUGUGAGAGCAGCACCACCUCGAGCUCCUCUCAGAAGCGCGCCUGGCUCUAGAAAUUCCACCAGGAACAGGCUGAACCACACCAGCCUUGGUGGCUGCUCCCACCAUUCCAGGAUGGAUGUCUCUUCAUCUCCCACACAGCUGGCCCAGCUGAGAACAUUGAUCUGAAGCUGUACCCUGAAAUGCUGAGACCACUGGUGAGCUGUAGGAGGCCUUCAGCAACCACCAGCUUUACUCCAGAAGGAAAAGGUAGAAUUUCCUGGAUGACCAAGCUGAGAGAAGGGAUAUCAAAUUGGGAAAAGGAACAAUGCUGAGGACAAAGCUGUCAUUUUUUACUACCUGUCUUGUGAUAGACUGUGGGUUUUGAUAGAUUUUGCAAGAGAAGAGGGCUUAUAUAAUUGUAUUGUGGGUGUGAACUCUU